UACUUUAAAUCCCAAGAGAACAGUGU
rnacentral:piRNA from 1 species